UACGGGGGGGGCAAGCGUUGUUCGGAAUUACUGGGCGUAAAGGGCGCGUAGGCGGCCUUCUAAGUCAGACGUGAAAUCCCUCGGCUCAACCGAGGAACUGCGUCUGAUACUGGAAGGCUUGAAUCCGGGAGAGGGAUGUGGAAUUCCAGGUGUAGCGGUGGAAUGCGCAGAUAUCAGGAAGAACACCAACGGCGAAGGCAGCUCGCUGGGACGGUACUGACGCUGAGGCGCGAAAGCGUGGGGAGCGAACAGG
rnacentral:rRNA from 1 species